UACGUAGGGUGCAAGCGUUGUCCGGAAUUAUUGGGCGUAAAGAGCUCGUAGGCGGUUCGGCAAGUCGGAUGUGAAAUCUCCACGCUCAACGUGGAGGGGCCAUUCGAAACUGCCGUGACUCGAGUCCGGUAGGGAGUGUGGAAUUCCCGGUGUAGCGGUGAAAUGCGCAGAUAUCGGGAGGAACACCAGUAGCGAAGGCGGCACUCUGGGCCGGUACUGACGCUGAGGAGCGAAAGCGUGGGGAGCGAACAGG
rnacentral:rRNA from 1 species